CAUGAUGCGGUGCCCUGUUGUCACCUGUGACCUCGGGAUGUCAUUGCUGGAACUACGGACCCCCGGAAGCUGCUGUCCAUAUAGAACGUGCGAAUGUUCCUGCGAGAAGAUCCCCAAACCCGAGUGUGGCCCGGUGAGAAGACUCCA